rnacentral:rRNA from 1 species
GACGAACGCUGGCGGCGUGCUUAACACAUGCAAGUCGAACGGAAAGGCCCUGCUUUUGUGGGGUGCUCGAGUGGCGAACGGGUGAGUAACACGUGAGUAACCUGCCCUUGACUUUGGGAUAACUUCAGGAAACUGGGGCUAAUACCGGAUAGGAGCUCCUGCUGCAUGGUGGGGGUUGGAAAGUUUCGGCGGUUGGGGAUGGACGCGCGGCUUAUCAGCUUGUUGGUGGGGUAGUGGCUUACCAAGGCUUGGACGGGUAGCCGGCCUGAGAGGGUGACCGGCCACCUUGGGACUGAGAUACGGCCCAGACUCCUACGGGAGGCAGCAGUGGGGAAUAUUGCACAAUGGGCGGAAGCCUGAUGCAGCAACGCCGCGUGCGGGAUGACGGCCUUCGGGUUGUAAACCGCUUUCGCCUGUGACGCAGCGUGAGUGACGGUAAUGGGUAAAGAAGCACCGGCUAACUACGUG